UUCCCUACGGGGGGCAGCAGUGGGGAAUAUUGCACAAUGGGGGGAACCCUGAUGCAGCGACGCCGCGUGGGUGAGGAAGUACUUCGGUAUGUAAAGCCCUAUCAGCAGGGAAGAAAAUGACGGUACCUGACUAAGAAGCCCCGGCUAACUACGUGCCAGCAGCCGCGGUAAUACGUAGGGGGCAAGCGUUAUCCGGAAUUACUGGGUGUAAAGGGAGCGUAGACGGUGAUGCAAGUCUGGAGUGAAAGGCGGGGGCCCAACCCCCGGACUGCUCUGGAAACUGUGUAACUUUAGUGCAGGAGAGG
rnacentral:rRNA from 1 species